GACGAACGCUGGCGGCGUGCUUAACACAUGCAAGUCGAAUGGAAAGGCCCCUUUGGGGGUACUCGAGUGGCGCACGGGUGAGUAACACGUGAGUAACCUGCCCUUGACUUCGGGAUAACUUCAGGAAACUGGGGCUAAUACCGGAUAGGAAUCCUUGCUGCAUGGUGGGGGUUGGAAAGCUUCGGCGGUUUUGGAUGGACUCGCGGCUUAUCAGCUUGUUGGUGGGGUAGUGGCUUACCAAGGCUUUGACGGGUAGCCGGCCUGAGAGGGCGACCGGCCACAUUGGGACUGAGAUACGGCCCAGACUCCUACGGGAGGCAGCAGUGGGGAAUAUUGCACAAUGGGCGGAAGCCUGAUGCAGCAACGCCGCGUGCGGGAGGACGGCCUUCGGGUUGUAAACCGCUUUCAGCAGGGGCGAAGCUUGUGGUGACGGUACCUGCAGAAGAAGCACCGGCUAACUACGUG
rnacentral:rRNA from 1 species